rnacentral:lncRNA from 1 species
UGGGGUAUUCUCAAUAUCCUCACAACUACCAUCAUGCAUUUCAUACUCAAUCCACCAAUCAUACCAGAAUAGAAAUCAGCAUGCACAAUCUUUCACCAUCAAACAAUGCAAGUAGACUCGACUCUAACACAGACAAAACAGACGCUAGAACAAGAAAAAGCAAAAGAUAAAAUAAAACCUAACCUAAGAGUUCAGGGGAAAGUACUUAGUCAUUUUGGUCGGAGGAUCUCGCCUCCACAGCCAUCAUUUCUUUGAUUUCCUUAAAGCAAGCUUCCAUCGCUUUGAAUCCUUCCUCCACAGUGUCCCUUAGUGUGGCCACUUCUCCUCCCAGCAUCACCAGCUCG